CCUGAACGCUGGCGGCAGGCUUAACACAUGCAAGUCGAGCGGGCGUAGCAAUACGUCAGCGGCAGACGGGUGAGUAACGCGUGGGAACAUACCUCUUGGUUCGGAACAACACAGGGAAACUUGUGCUAAUACCGGAUAAGCCCUUACGGGAAAGAUUUAUCGCCGAAAGAUUGGCCCGCGUCUGAUUAGCUAGUUGGUGAGGUAACGGCUCACCAAGGCGACGAUCAGUAGCUGGUCUGAGAGGAUGAUCAGCCACAUUGGGACUGAGACACGGCCAAACUCCUACGGGAGGCAGCAGUGGGAAUAUUGGGGCAAUGGGCGCAAGGCCUGAUCCAGCCAUGCCGCGUGAGUGAUG
rnacentral:rRNA from 1 species